rnacentral:rRNA from 1 species
UAGCCAUAGGCUUGUCUAAAAGAUUACCCCUUUUUAGUCUCAAUUAAAUCUUUAAUCCGGUGAAACUGCUAAUGGCUCAUUAAAGCACUUAUAUUUUAUUUGAUGGCCCCUCUUCCAUGGAUAACGGUGGUAAUUCUAGAGCUAAUACAUGCACCAAAACCCGACUUCGGAAGGGUUGUGUUUAUUAAAUCCAGAACCAUCCCAUGCUCCCCAUGGUUUUGUGGUGACUCAUAAAAGCCUCUACCAAUACCAUGGCAUACUCGAACAAUCAAAAAUUCAAGUUAUGGACCAACCGCCUACCCACGGUAGGGUAUUGGCCAUACCGAGUCACCACCGGGCAACGGAGAAUUUGGGUUGGAUCCGGAACAGGGAACCAGAAAACCGCCUACCACAGCUAAGGAAGGAAGCAGGCGCUCAAAUAACCCAACCCUGACCCAGGGAGGAAUGACCAAAAAAUAAAAUAAAAGGGCAUUACUGUCUUGUAAUUGGAAUG